ACAAAUAUGAAGGCGGGCUGGAACCUCUCGGGGUUACAGCCUUGCUGAAUUAUUCACCCUUGUCUUUUGCGUACUUCUUGUUUCCUUGGUGGGUUCGCCCACCACUAGGACAAACAUAAACCUUUUGUAAUUGCAAUCAGCGUCAGUAACAAAUUAAUAAUUACAACUUUCAACAACGGAUCUCUUGGUUCUGGCAUCGAUGAAGAACGCAGCGAAAUGCGAUAAGUAGUGUGAAUUGCAGAAUUCAGUGAAUCAUCGAAUCUUUGAACGCACAUUGCGCCCUUUGGUAUUCCAAAGGGCAUGCCUGUUCGAGCGUCAUUUGUACCCUCAAGCUUUGCUUGGUGUUGGGCGUCUUGUCUCUAGCUUUGCUGGAGACUCGCCUUAAAGUAAUUGGCAGCCGGCCUACUGGUUUCGGAGCGCAGCACAAGUCGCACUCUCUAUCAGCAAAGGUCUAGCAUCCAUUAAGCCUUUUUUUCAACUUUUGACCUCGGAUCAGGUAGGGAUACCCGCUGAACUUAA
rnacentral:rRNA from 1 species